UAAAAUUUUAUGACAGAAUGGUAAUUUUUAAUAAUGCGUCUUUCUCAUUUCAUUCUAAGGAGUGACCUGGGAGAACAUCAAAUACCUGCCGUUGGACUCAAGUAAAAGAAGAGUCUAUAAUAUAGACUGCAAAAAAGGUUAUUGUUUACCUUUGCCGGUACAAAGUAAGAAGAGCAGGUUUGGUAUUCACUUUCAACCACAAAAAGUUUGCGUUUUUUGACCUCAAUGACUCAUUCAGAAGAUCUGGUUGAGCCUAUAAAUAAAUCCAUUAUAAACUGUUUGAAGUGCUGUAAAUUUUAAGCACAAUCGAUGGUGGUGGGUACCCAAGAUUCUCGGCUACUGUGCGACACCAGCACUUGAUCUUACUUCUUGAGGGUAUUUAUGUUGUAUUUUUGUCAUGUUUUAAAGGUGGUUCAAAAAAAGAAACAGCAAAAUAAAAUCCCCGAUUUUUUUCGCAUUA